rnacentral:SRP_RNA from 2 species
GCCAGGCAUGGUGGCGCAUGCCUGUGGUCCCAGCUACUUGGGAGGCUGAGGCAGGAGGAUCACUUGAGCCCAGGAGUUUGAGGCUGCAGUGACCUGUGAUUGUGCCACUGCACUCCGGCCUGGGCCACAGAGCAAGACCUUGUCUUUG